AGGUGAGUAGGGAGGAAGAGGUAAAAGACCCAUGCCGAACACAGAAGUUAAGCCCUAGAACGCCGGAAGUAGUUGGGGGUUGCCCCCUGUGAGAUAGGGAAGUCGCUUAGCU
rnacentral:rRNA from 1 species